ensembl:lncRNA FAM197Y8 family with sequence similarity 197 Y-linked member 8
GUGAUGGAUUUGCAGGUGGAGGAACUCAGCCAUCCCGGUUACCGGUGGCAGGAUGAUUUCCUUUCAUCCCAACCUUUAUUUCCACAGUGAAAUCAUCAUGAAGGAGCACUGUGUUGGCAUCCUCGCUUCAAAGGAUUCCUCUGCCUGCUGAUGCUGCUUUUCCCCCACAUGAGGAGAACAUGCAGACAGUUAUAAAAAAUUCUGUGCCUGGGGUACUCUCGCUCUGUAGACCAGGCUGGAGCGCAGUGGCAGGAUCUCAGCUCAACACAUCCUCCGCCUCCCAGGUUCAGCCUCUGCAGUAGCUGGGAUUACAAGCAUGCAUCACCACGCUCAGCUAAUGUUUUGUAUUUUUAGUAGAAGCCAGGCUUCACCAUGUUGGCCAGGCUGCUCUCCUACUACAGAUCUCAGGUGACCCGCCCGACUCAGCUUCCCAAAAUCCAAAGUGCUGGGAAUACAGGUGUGAGCCACCGAGCCCAGCCAACUCCAGUACUUUUUACCUAAGCCAGUGGACGAGUGGAGUUGCCUUUAUUUUUUUUUUUUUCUUUUUUCAGUCAUGGUCUCGCUGUGUCAUCCAGGCUGGAGUGCAGUAGUCUGAUCUUGGCUUACUAUACAAUCUCUGCCACCCAUGUUCAGGUGGUUCUCCUGCCUCAGCCUCCCAAGUAGCUGGGACCACAGGAAAGUGCCACUAGGUCUGGCUAAUUUUUGUAUUUUUGGUAGAGACAGCUUUUUGCCAUGUUGCCCAUGCUGGUCUCCAACUCCUGACCUCAAGUGACCCACCAACCUCGGCCUCCCAAAAUGUAGAAAUUACAACAAGAGCCACGAAGCCUGGCCUGGAGUUGUGGCUUUUUGACAUAAGAAAUCUGUGGAGGGAAAAGCUUGGUUUGUGGGAGCACCCGAGCUCAGUUUGGCUCAAAGGUUUGGGAUACCUAUUAUUGAGUGGCAGUGAUGGUAUGUUGUUAAUGUACAAUAUGUUCCUGUAUAUAGCAUACGUCUAUGCUCAUCAGAUAUUUUCAGGUAAAAAAAAGAUAGUCUUUCCAGUAGUUUGAGCCAUUAUAGCAAUUUCCACCAGGGGAUUUCAAAGUCCAAUUCCAGUUGUGGGCAACAGUGAUUAACAUAAUGGUAAUUAAUGAGAAGAGAUUUUGAGACGUCCAGCCACGUUUCCAUGUCAGUGCCUUGUUUGCAGUAUUAUGAAGAAAGCGUGCAUUGGACUAGAUACUAAGAAAAACAUUGAAUUAUUUUUCUUGCCUCUAUAACAUCAAAGGACAAUUAGAGAUAUAGAAACUAUGGAACAUUUCACAGCAUGGCUUGACAUUUCACUGAACGUUUAUCCUUUUAACCAUGUACAAAGUUUGUUACCUAUGCAAAGGUAGGACUGCAAAAGGAAGACAGAGGUGGAGUCAGAGGUCACAAUCCACAGCAAGGUGACACUCUUGUUGAUCGCACCUUGAAAGCCAAAUUAGAGCGAGAAUUAACUUUCCGGUUGCCGUAAGAGAACAAGGAGAAUGAAGCUACCAGCAGUUAACAGUAUUGGAUUAAUUGAAAUGAAGGUGGACAGAGUUUUUUGGCUUUCCAUCAAAUUGAGUAAAGAAAAGGUAACCGCUUAUCUAAUUUCACACACAUACAAUUAUGGAUUAAUUAAAAGAUUACACAACCCAUAUAUUAUGGGUUUCUCAUAUAAGUGUAUAUAUACAUGGGCAAACUCACAGUGUGCCAGUAUGUGUCUAUAUCCAAAUAUAUACAAAUCCAUGUCCAACAGUUAGCAAGUGAGAAAUUCUCUUCCAUUUCACCAUUCCCUUUCCUAGAAUUUUUUCAUAAAUAUAAUUUUUCCAUAUAUUUGAAGCCUACUCUCUGGAGGCAUGUAAUGCAUGCAUGCAGUAAACCUGUGCGAUAUCACAAUGUUGGUGUCAGAGAAAACUAUAACACCGAUGUUAUAAAAGAUUAAUUGUGAGGAGAAAGUUAUGCUUCGCAUUACUACAAAUACACAAGUAUGAUUUCAUCCAAAGCUGAAAUCAGUCAAUAUAAUUUGUUUUUAAUGUUUUAUUUAAAAUCCUUAAUUUCAACAGGAUUACUCAAGAAAAAUAACGUUAUUGGUAUUAAAUAAUGUUGACGUAUUCCCUUUAAUUGUUGAUUAUUUAAAAUGUCAGUAAAAUAGUAAAUGGCACUGUACAAUGUAGUUUCAUGAAGCAUUCUUUAUAGUUUUCAUAAAAUUGAUAGUCUCCAUGGAAUAUUUUAAGACUGAGGAAGUUCCAUAUAUCAUUUGAUUGUACUUUCACUUUAUUACUUGCUUGCAUGUCAUAACUGAUGGAAAUAAAACUAUGUAUAUUUACAAAUAUGAAAAAC